rnacentral:lncRNA from 1 species
GAUUCUGGCUGGGGGCAGUGGGUCACGCUUUUAAUCCCUGCACUUUGGGAAGCCGAAGUAGGAGGAUCGUUUGAGCCCAGGAGUUUGAGACCAGCCUGGGCAACAUAGCAAGAACCUGUCUUUACAAAAAUUAAAAGAUUAGCUGGGCGUGGUGGCAGGUGCCUGUGGUUCCAGCUACUCUGGAUGCUGAGGUGAGAGAAUCACUUAAGCCCAGGAGGUCAAGGCUGCAGUGACCUGUGUUCACGCCACUGCACUCCAGCCUGAGCAACACAGCAAGACUGUCUGAACAGCAACAACAAACACACCAAAAAAACUAGUUUACUUCGGAAAAGGGACUGUCUAGGUCUUUGAAGGGCUGAUACAGGAUCUGAGCUGACACUGUUUCCAGGAGCCCUGAAGCAUCAUGGCCCUCUCAUUAGGGUGCAGGCUUAUGGAAAUCAGAUGAUAAGCAGAAUUCCCAACCCGAGUCCUGUGGUUACUUCUCUGGUCUCAAUGCAUACUUGGGAUGUUUUUACCUAGCAGAGGGCGGAGCGUAUACAUUGAUCCCAGGCCUUUGGUACCAUAUGUAAGGAAGCGCAAAGUAGAAACCUUUGAAACUCCUCACCCUACUGAAACCUUUCCAAGAUAGUAAGUCAGAAACAAUGCUGCAUUCCAGGUGUAAUUGCAGAGGUAUUUCGCCCUCAAAGACUUAUAAAGCAGUGGUUACCGUUUCAUCCCUUCAAUUAACCUGAAUGGCUCCUGCUAAAUCUUGGUGGAUUCAAGUAAAUGAUGAUGCCCUGCACAAACUUAGCCAAGUCGUGUCCCCGAUCACACAGCUGUGCUAGGUGUGGUAUCUUUACUGGAACCGAUAAAUGCACCUCUGGCUCUUGAUAAUGCAAUUAUUGACUUGGUGAACAUUCUUUUCAAUUGCCAGUGGUAAAGAGGAUUAAAAGCAGUUCACAUUUAUAUGGGAAGGACAGCUCUGUAAAUGGUCUUGCUUCUUGCUGUCUGAACUCUCCUGUUCUCUGUCACAAUAGUCCUUAGGUAGCUUAUCAUCUAUAUUCCAUAUAACAUUGAUGAUGUCAUACUAGUUGGACAUGGUGAAGAAGGCCGUGCAUGUCAGAGGAUGAGCGAGAAGCCCUCAGAAGUUCUGGAGCCUGCCAUAUCAGUGACAUUCUCAGGGGUGCAGCGUUUGAGGGCAAGCCAGGGACAAGUUAUUGCAUCCUGCAUCCUUACAAGGAAGAAAGAGGCACAGCAUUGAGGCACCUCUGUGUUUUGGAGUCAGCAUGCACCGCGCUAGAGGAUACCUCUCUGACCCCUUUAUUGGGUAACGGGAAAACUGCCAGCUUUGAGUGGGGCCCAGAGAAAAAGAGGGCUCUGCUAAAGAUUUGGAUUGGGAGAUGGGCUUCCCUGCUGCAUAGAUCCAAUGGGUUACCGGGGGGCUUAUUUGGGGUAGGAAGGACCCUAUAUGGCAUCUCUGGCAAACUCCAACGGAAGAGUUGCAGUACACUGUCCUAGAGUUCUUGGACAAGACCAUGCCUUCUGCAGCAGAGAACUACUCGCCAAGUGAGAGCAGUAUCAGGCACACUACCAGACCCAGAGGAGUUGGUGAACAGCAGGAUGGAUGGGAUGUCAGUCAGCUGUGCCCCUGGCUACCCCUGUGCUUGAACAGUGGACUGUGAGUGGCGGCGUCAUGCAGAAGGAGCACAGGGUCCCAGGCCAGCAUCACUAUCCAGGAGCUUCAGGCAUGCUCCGUGUACCAACAUGGGAUCACGAAUCACAUCGCCUCAGGCCAAGAAAGCCAUUUUAUAGCGAAAGAGCCUUAGGAUCUGCUGGAUUAGAGCCUGUUUCCCAGGUAGGAACGCUUCCACGAGGGCACUCCUGCUGGUUGCAGGAAGGAUACCUCUGCUGAGCCUGAAUCUGCAAAGACCACCAGGUUACUCUCAGCUCCUCAUACUGGUGGACCAGCAGGCCACAAAGGAGGGGAUACUUGAUCCUGAUAAACGGUGUUAUGCUUGUUUGCUGAUGGAAAUGAUCCAGAAGAGAAGGACAAGUUGACGAUUGAGAGGGUUAAUGUCAGGUAAGAAACUUGAGUGGACAUUGAGGAAAGAGCGAGGUUCAGUGGACUGGAGGUUUGUGGUGGUUUCAUGACACGUGGACUGGAGAUUUGCAGUGGUUUUAUGACACAUGGACUGGAGGUUUGUGGUGGUUUCAUGACACAUGGACUGCAGAUUUGCAGUGGUUUUAUGACACAGCUCCUAAGUUCUUUGACACUCUUCCCAUGGAGGGGUAGGGUCUGUGACCCCCCUCUUGAAGCUGGGUAGGCUUGCAACUGCUUUGGCCAAUAGUCACAGCAGCAGUGAUGCUGUAGGACUUACAAGGUUAGACCAGAAAAGGGCAUGCCCUCCAAGGAUCCUUACUCUGAUGGGAACCAGCCAUCAUGUAGAAACUCUACCCUUGGCUGGGUGCGGUGGCUCACGCCUGUAGUCCUAGCAUUUUGGGAGGCCGAGGUGGGCGGAUCACCUGAGGUCAGGAGUUCCAGACCAGCCUGGCGAGAAGGAGUCUGGAAGGACGCUGACAACGGGUGGUGGUCAGGAA